GACUCGGUAGCUCAGUUGGCAGAGCAUGUGACUUUUAAUCACAGGGUCCCGGGUUCGAGUCCCGGCCGGGUCACCA
rnacentral:tRNA from 1 species